AGAGUUUGCAGUGCCUUGUCAUGCAAAUAGCUUGCUUGCAAGGAACGUUUGGAAUUUUAACAAACAUUAUUUUUCGUUUUUAAUUCUUUUAGGUUUGUAAUUCGUUUUUAAUUCUUUUUAAUUUUUUAAUUCGUUUAUAAAAGUAAAAGCAUAUUGUGUAUUGGCCUAUUGGGUUUACACUUUUACAGGUUCAUUUAACUUUAACUCUCUCAAGUCUCAACAGACAAUCGGACACAGGGCCGUAGCGAGGGGGUGUUGGGGGGGGGGGUGGUUAACCCAAUUUUGUAGAAUUAACAUAUUUGGAAAAUCGGGUUGGCCAUUCGGAAAAUUACGGCAAUAAUAGUAUAACAAAAUUUUAAUUGUUUAAUUAAACAGAAAAAAUAUUAUAAUAUUAUAAUCAGUAUAAAAUGAUUUACGAAAUCACGGCAUUUACAUGCCGGAUAACGUUUAACAAAUCGUAAAUCGGUAAAUUUUUUUCGGUUUCAGUACUUCUCAGGGCCGUAGCAACCGGGGGGGGGGGAGGCAGCACCCUUACAAUAAUUUGCUGAUAAUCAGUCUUUUUUCAAAAUCAUGCACACCUUUAUCAUUUAAACAAUUGAUUAAUUUUAAGCGGCUACAUUAUCCAUGACAAACCGCAAAGAAUUAUAUUACCCAUACUCUUUCCUGCAACUUCUCCAAUAUAUAGCUAAAUACGACUUCGCCCAUUUAAUUCUGCUAAAUUGUAAGCAAAUUGUAAAUUUCGACAUACUAAAACUCUAUUAACAACUCAAACCGACUUUACCACGUAGCUCAGUUGGCAGAGCAUUGGACUAGCAUCCCAAAGGUCGCGGGUUUGAUUUCCACCGUGGGCAAGCUAACUUUUCAGCUUGCCCGGUGUGGAUCAGUGGAUGCAUACUCAGAGUAACAUCACAAACAUCAUAUUCACUUGAGUACACAACACCAACACACACACAUAAAUCAUAUCAAAGAUUACACUGAUGUCGAAGGAACUAGAUUCAGUUCCGAAAUAUCAACAAGUCGAACCGACUUGACCACGUAGCUCAGGUGGGAGAGCAUUGGACUAGUAUCCCAAAGGUCGCAGGUUCGACUCCCACCGUGGCCACGCACACUUUUCAG